rnacentral:misc_RNA from 1 species
AACGCACAUUGCGCCUUAUGGUAUUCCAUAAGGCAUGCCUGUCUGAGCGUCAGCUCCCCCCCACUCAAGCUCUUUUGCUUGGAUUAUUUUGGAUAAGCAGCUGUACCGGUUGCUGUUCAUAAAUUCAUAGGCAGUAUGGUUUUCUUUCCAGGCUGAGCGUGAUAAAUUAUACUUAUACCGUUCAAUAUUGGAGGCAUCGUACUCGCCCUUAACCCACAAUAACUUUUAUUUGGGUGACCUCAGAUCAGGUAGGGAUACCCGCUGAACUUAA